rnacentral:rRNA from 1 species
GAGUUUGAUCAUGGCUCAGGAUGAACGCUAGCGGCAGGCUUAAUACAUGCAAGUCGAGGGGCAGCAGCUUUAUAGCAAUAUAGAGGCUGGCGACCGGCAAACGGGUGCGGAACACGUACACAACCUUCCUUGAAUAGGGGGAUAGCCCAUAGAAAUGUGGAUUAAUACCCCGUAAUAUAGCGGUGUGGCAUCACACUGUUAUUAUAGUUUCGGCGAUUCGAGAUGGGUGUGCGGCUGAUUAGGUAGUUGGCGGGGUAAAGGCCCACCAAGCCUUCGAUCAGUAGCUGAUGUGAGAGCAUGAUCAGCCACACGGGCACUGAGACACGGGCCCGACUCCUACGGGAGGCAGCAGUAAGGAAUAUUGGUCAAUGGACGCAAGUCUGAACCAGCCAUGCCGCGUGAAGGAUGAAGGUCCUCUGGAUUGUAAACUUCUUUUAUAGGGGGCGAAAAAAGGUCUUUCUAGAUCACUGACAGUACCCU